rnacentral:misc_RNA from 1 species
GACGUAUCGAGAAUUCGAUGGUCGAACGCCUUGAGACGAAUGCGAAUAUUCUGGCCGUUCAUUGCCGUUUGUCUUUCUCUAAGAGCGAGUAGUGAGUGGUGAGCAGCGAGCAGUUACCUGCUCGCUACCCUCUAUUCGCGNNUUACUCGAUGAUGCUUGCGACGACGCCUGCACCGACGGUGCGGCCGCCUUCGCGGAUAACGAA